rnacentral:rRNA from 1 species
CAGCAUGGUCUUAGCUUGCUAAGGCUGAUGGCGACCGGCGCACGGGUGAGUAACGCGUAUGCAACCUGCCCUUCACUGGGGGAUAACCGGGAGAAAUUCCGACUAAUACCGCAUAUGAUGUCUGAACGAAUGUUCGGGUUUUGAAAGAUUUAUCGGUGAAGGAUGGGCAUGCGUGAUAUUAGGUAGUUGGCGGGGUAACGGCCCACCAAGCCGACGAUAUCUAGGGGUUCUGAGAGGAAGGUCCCCACACUGGUACUGAGACACGGACCAGACUCC